rnacentral:rRNA from 1 species
UACGUAGGGUCCGAGCGUUGUCCGGAAUUACUGGGCGUAAAGAGCUCGUAGGUGGUUUGUCGCGUUGUUCGUGAAACUCACAGCUCAACUGUGGGCGUGCGGGCGAUACGGGCAGACUUGAGUACUGCAGGGGAGACUGGAAUUCCUGGUGUAGCGGUGGAAUGCUGCAGAGUAUCAGGAGGAACACCGGUGGGCGAAGGCGGGUCUCUGGGCAGUAACUGACGCUGGAGGAGCGAAA